AACAUUCAUUCAAGCCUUUAGUUCACCCAUUUAGCUCCAAAUCAAGGUGCAAUUGAAGGAAUUUACACUUGGAUUCCAUUGUUGAUUGGAGUUGCAAGCUUGGUUAGGUGAGGUUCAAGAACUUGGAAAGUCUUGGGUUAAGAAAAGGUUAAU